CCUACGGGGGGCAGUGGGGAAUAUUGGACAAUGGGCGAAAGCCUGAUCCAGCCAUGCCGCGUGUGUGAAGAAGGCCUUCGGGUUGUAAAGCACUUUCAGUGGGGAAGAAAGCCUUGGGGCUAAUACCCUCGAGGAAGGACAUCACCCACAGAAGAAGCACCGGCUAACUCCGUGCCAGCAGCCGCGGUAAUACGGAGGGUGCGAGCGUUAAUCGGAAUUACUGGGCGUAAAGCGCGCGUAGGCGGUCUGAUAAGCCGGUUGUGAAAGCCCCGGGCUCAACCUGGGAACGGCAUCCGGAACUGUCAGGCUAGAGUGCAGGAGAGGAAGGUAGAAUUCCCGGUGUAGCGGUGAAAUGCGUAGAGAUCGGGAGGAAUACCAGUGGCGAAGGCGGCCUUCUGGACUGACACUGACGCUGAGGUGCGAAAGCGUGGGUAGCAAACAGGAUUAGAUACCCGAGUAGUC
rnacentral:rRNA from 1 species